ensembl:lncRNA
UCUCUGCCCCCACUGCCUCCUAAGGUGGCUGUUCUGCCAGCAUGCUCUAGAAGACAGCGUCGCCUGGAGCCUUUGCUCCAUCUGGUUUCGCUGGAAGAAGAACUAGGUGCUCGGUCAGUGGGUUGGGGGAUCUGGUGAUGUUCUGCUCAGUGGAGAUGCACCAUUCCACUUGUGCAUCGCCCACGUGUGGCUGACUAGGGAAGCAGGGGAUGGGGCGGGGCCUGCCCGAUGGAGCAUGUCCACCUGGCAAUGGCUGCUGGGUAUCCUAGUGAGUACCUUAUCUCCUAGUCCUGUGGAUACCCCACUCAGCCCUUCAGAGAGAGCAAAUGAUCCUAUUGGUCUUUCUAAUCUUGGAAUGGGAACUAGGGUGGGGGACUCCUCAGAGCAGCCCAGUACAGGGUACAGCAGACCAGGAAGGGGCCACACUCAGAGGAGGAGUCUGGUCAGGUCUCCCUGCUCCUUCCUGAAAGUGCUCCCAAGGCAUGUCCCUCCCUUUGGGACAGUUUUUCUCUCCAGCCUUUCUCUGCUUGGUAUCUGUCUGCUCCCCUGCAGCUCUGGGGGAGCCCACUGGGGAAGAUCUGGGUCUUUCGUUAAGCAUCUUAGCAGCUGAUGCCCUAGUGCUGGGUCCAGCUGGGGAUGCAGAGGAAGAGGAAGGAAGGAGUGCUGAGAAGGAGAAGAUCAUGAGAGGAGGAUGCUGCUGAUCUCAAGAAGGAUCUAGCAGCAGCUGGAGUGAAUUUGGUGGAAAAGCAUGAAUCCAAAACAAAUGAGACCUUCAAGAAAAAGGAGGAGGUAUCCUACUUUGGCAGAGAGAUUUGAGUCACCAGCUUGGUGAGAAGCUCACAGCAACCUUCAGAGAAAUUUCAUGCCCUUGAAGGUUCCUGCAAGACCCAUUUUACCCUUUUUCCUCCUUAACCUCCACUCUGCUAGACCUGGCCCAUGGCGGUCAUGAAAAUGCGACUGUCAGAUUUUCAACUCCAGGAGGGUGAUUGAUGGAGGUCCUCAGCUGCUGCACUCUGAAUCCGUCACCUCCUUAGUGUUGAGGCCAUGCUUCCCACCGUGGCUCCCAGUCAAAGGCAGAGUGCAUUGGGGAUACUAAGACAGGAGACCAAGGGGAUGCCUGGGAGAUGUGAGUCUCCUUUGAUGGGUCAGUGGCUCCAGGAUUGCCCAUUGGCUUUGCCAAACACUCUUGGAUGACCAGCAUCCUGGGAUAAUUUCACCCCCGCCCUUCUCUACUUCACUGGGUUCUUACGGCUCCUCAGCCUCUUCCAGCUCCUUCAGAUUUCUCCCCACAGGCAUUUCCCCCAAUAAAUUUAUUGCUUGUUUCAUUUUGUUUUGACAUCUACCUCUUGGAGGAUUCAUACUAACCUACUCCCCUUGCUCAAGAGUGGGAACCCCCCGGGGCUUCCCUGGUGGUCCAGGAGUUAAGAAUCUGCCUUGGAAUGCAGGGGACUUGGGUUCGAUCCCUGGGUGGGGGACUAGGAUCCCACAUGCUGAGGAGCAUCUAAGCCUGAGAGCUGCAACUGCUGAGCCUGCACACCACGACGAGCCAGUCCAUGAACCGUGGUGAAAGAUCCCUCACGAUGCAACAAAGAUCCAAUGUGCUGCAACUAAGACUUGAUG